rnacentral:rRNA from 1 species
UACGUAGGGUGCAAGCGUUGCCCGGAUUUAUUGGGCGUAAAGGGCGCGUAGGCGGCUCUGCACGUUCGUUGUGAAAUCGCCCGGCUCAACUGGGCGGGGUCAGCGGAUACGGCAGAGCUUGAGCAAGCUAGGGGGCAAUGGAAUUCCCGGUGUAGUGGUGGAAUGCGUAGAGAUCGGCAGGAACACCCAGGGGGAAACCAGUCGACUGGGCAGCACCUGACGCUGAGGUGCGAGAGCGUGGGGAGCGAACCGG